rnacentral:rRNA from 1 species
GACGAACCGUGCGAACGUUAUUCGGAAUCACUGGGCUUAAAGCGCGUGUAGGCGGGACGGCACGUCGGUCGCUGAAAGCCCCCGGCUCAACCGGGGAACGGGCGCCGAUACGACCGUCCUGGAGGGACGUAGGGGGACCUGGAACAUCCGGUGGAGCGGUGAAAUUCGUUGAGAUCGGAUGGAACGCCCGUGGCGAAAGCGAGGUCCUGGACGUUUUCUGACGCUGAGACGCGAAAGCCAGGGGAGCGAACGGG